UAUGAAUUAACCCUCACAUGCUUCGCAGAGUGGGGAUGCAUGCUAACAAUGAGUGAUCCUGAAUGACAGACAAGAGGCUCCCUCUCUCAGCUACUACAAUGAGGUGAGCCAGCCAACAGAGGGGCCCCAUGUUCAGCUGAUGGGCUUACACCCUGGACAGGCCAGAGCUCGGGUUUCUGGAACACCACAAGCUUCCUAGAGGAUGAAGCCCAAGCCCCAUGACCCACCCUCCCCUUCACCCGUCUACCCCUUGGACCCUUAGCCCCACCCUGCAAAGUGGCCGCACUGUUGCCCCGGGUCCUGUGUGGGAGUCGAGAGGUUGGAUUUGACGUGCGAUACUACACAGACGAGAUUGCUCUGAGCUUCUGGAAUAGGCAGGUGAGUACAUGCACAUGUGGCCUCCCCCUCCACCCGAAUCCACACACUUAGGCACAAACACAGGCACAAAGUCACAGGUCACGUGGGGAUCCGG
ensembl:lncRNA